rnacentral:rRNA from 1 species
GAUGAACGCUGGCGGCGUGCCUAAUACAUGCAAGUCGAGCGAACAGAUAAGGAGCUUGCUCCUUUGAAGUUAGCGGCGGACGGGUGAGUAACACGUGGGUAACCUACCUAUAAGACUGGGAUAACUUCGGGAAACCGGAGCUAAUACCGGAUAACAUUUAGAACCGCAUGGUUCUAAAGUGAAAGAUGGUUUUGCUAUCACUUAUAGAUGGACCCGCGCCGUAUUAGCUAGUUGGUAAGGUAACGGCUUACCAAGGCGACGAUACGUAGCCGACCUGAGAGGGUGAUCGGCCACACUGGAACUGAGACACGGUCCAGACUCCUACGGGAGGCAGCAGUAGGGAAUCUUCCGCAAUGGGCGAAGGCCUGACGGAGCAACGCCGCGUGAGUGAUGAAGGGUUUCGGCUCGUAAAACUCUGUUAUUAGGGAAGAACAAAUGUGUAAGUAACUGUGCACAUCUUGACGGUACCUAAUCAGAAAGCCACGGCUAACUACGUG